ensembl:antisense 1700113A16Rik uncharacterized LOC110319785
GAGGGCGCUGCGUAGCCGGCGCGUGACCCGGCGUCCUGCGGGUCUUCCCCUCCCCGGGGGCACCCAGCAUGCUUUGGGCACGUGGCAACUCGUGUCCCAAAUAGGAGCAGUCCUGGGCCGCUAUCCUGUGAGGGUGGAGACGCUCCCCGAGACUGGACAGACACCGAGAGGUGGAGCUGAGCUAAUACGAGGCCAAGGGAAUCCCAGGUAUUCCAGUUAUCCUGAACUCACCAUAUAGAAGAGGAUGACCCUGAGCUUCUGAUACUCCAUCUCUUACUAGGAUUCCAGGAUCCCUUUCAAGGCUUCUACCAGGAGCAACUGCCCACAGUUCUGCCUUAAGAAUGCCUGAGAGACCUGGCAUCAGAGCCUGCCCCCCAAAUCAUCACUCACUCUGCCAGGCACACCAGGUCUUCCUCCCUUUACUCGCCGCACCCAAGAAAUCAAAACCCAAACUGAGGUAUCAGAAACAUGUUCUUUUUUUCUUUUAAUAGUAAACCUCUUUACAACAAAUAUAGUGAAAGAGUUUUCAAACCAAACUCGUAAGAAUCUCGAGGACUUUUCUUAAUGUGCAGAAUACUAGAAAGCAUCACCGUACAGCACGGAAAGAAAUAAUGAAAACAAAUCAACAGCCACACACUUGGACUCACCCAAGACCCAGGAGCCAGGAGUGUGGGUGAUUGUCAAGUUUGGGGACGGGUCAGCUCUUGGCUGGCCCAUCCCUCCAUUCUUCCCUCUUUCUGGGACUUGAAUGGGGUAGAGAAUUGAGAAUCUCCUUGGGAAUCUCAGCCCUCCUACCCCAUUACAUCCCAUCCCUUCUGCUUAUGUAGAGGCAAACAGGGUGGAACAAGGAGCUCCCAGCCUCUAGGAGAGCCUACAUCCCACAGGGGUUCCAGGGAGUUAGGUAAAAAAGAGAGAGAGAGAGAUUUUUAGAUACUUUCCCAUCAUUUCUGUCUCUCCAAACAAAUAAAUAACAAGCAAGAGAA